UCUAAGUUUGAUGGCGACCGGCGCACGGGUGAGUAACACGUAUCCAACCUGCCGAUGACUCGGGGAUAGCCUUUCGAAAGAAAGAUUAAUACCCGAUGGCAUAGUUCUUCCGCAUGGUGGGACUAUUAAAGAAUUUCGGUCAUCGAUGGGGAUGCGUUCCAUUAGGUUGUUGGCGGGGUAACGGGCCCACCAAGCCUUCGAUGGAUAGGGGUUCUGAGAGGAAGGUCCCCCCACAUUGGAACUGAGACACGGUCCAAACUCCUACGGGAGGCAGCAUG
rnacentral:rRNA from 1 species